AUUGAACGCUGGCGGCAGGCCUAACACAUGCAAGUCGAACGAGUGGCGGACGGGUGAGUAAUGUCUGGGAAACUGCCUGAUGGAGGGGGAUCACUACUGGAAACGGUAGCUAAUACCGCAUACCCUCGGAUGUGCCCAUAUGGGAUUAGCUCGUAGGUGGGGUAAAGGCUCACCUAGGCGACGAUCCCUAGCUGGUCUGAGAGGAUGACCAGCAAAACUGGAACUGAGACAAGGUCAAGACGCCUACGGGAGGCAGCAGUGGGGAAUAUUGCACAAUGGGCGCAAGCCUGAUGCAGCCAGGCCGCGUGUAUGAAGAAGGCCUUCGGGUUGUAAAGUACUUUCAGCGGGGAGGCGUUACCCGCAGAAGAAGCACCGGCUAACUCCGUGCCAGCCGCCGCGGUAAUAC
rnacentral:rRNA from 1 species